UCAUCCCUACGGGGGGCAGCAGUGGGGAAUAUUGGACAAUGGGGGGAACCCUGAUCCAGCGACGCCGCGUGAGUGAAGAAGUAUUUCGGUAUGUAAAGCUCUAUCAGCAGGGAAGAAAGAAAUGACGGUACCUGACUAAGAAGCCCCGGCUAACUACGUGCCAGCAGCCGCGGUAAUACGUAGGGGGCAAGCGUUAUCCGGAUUUACUGGGUGUAAAGGGAGCGUAGACGGCGAUGCAAGUCUGAAGUGAAAGGCGGGGGCCCAACCCCCGGACUGCGUUGGACACUGUCUGGUUGGAGUGGGGG
rnacentral:rRNA from 1 species